GAAGAAGCACUUGAUGAAAUGGACCCAGAUGCAGCAAACUACUACACCAACAAAUUCAGCUGAGUGCUCCAUAAAAUAUGUGGAAGCAAAGGUCCGGGAAGUUAAGAAGAAGGAAGGUUUACUGACGUUCACCCAGUUUAUGCUUUCCACUUCUUAGAAGCCUGACAAAGUUUCACAUUGACCGCAUCCUAAAGUUCAUUACCUACUAGCAAAAUUCCUCCUCCUAAAUUUAACAUGGUUCAUUCAAGUUCCAAAUGAAACAAUGUCAUUUGAUAAAAUAAAGCAUAGGCAUGAUUUGUU